AGCGAACGCUGGCGGCAGGCCUAACACAUGCAAGUCGAACGCACCUUCGGGUGAGUGGCGGACGGGUGAGUAACACGUGGGAACGUACCUUUAGGUUCGGAAUAACGCAGGGAAACUUGUGCUAAUACCGAAUGUGCCCUUCGGGGAAAGAUUAUCGCCAUUGGAGCGGCCCGCGUUGGAUUAGGUAGUUGGUGGGUAAUGGCCUACCAAGCCUACGAUCCAUAGCUGGUCUGAGAGGAUGAUCAGCCACACUGGGACUGAGACACGGCCCAGACUCCUACGGGAGGCAGCAGUAGGGAAUCUUGCGCAAUGGGCGAAAGCCUGACGCAGCCAUGCCGCGUGAAUGAUGAAGGUCUUAGGAUUGUAAAAUUCUUUCGCCGGGAAGAUAAUGACGGUACCCGGAGAAGAAGCCCCGG
rnacentral:rRNA from 1 species